UCCUGAACGUACAUACCGCAUCCGCGGGGGACUGGACCCAGCAUCUGUGGAGACCCCACAGUCCGGAGAGAUGCUCAGGCCCAGAAACGGCCCUCUGAGCCUGUAGGUCCCGCAUCCAAGGAGCCAGCCAACCACUGGUACAAGAAGCGUGCGCUGGAGGAAAUGGACGUUACCCAAGCAUCCUGACUUGGAGGUUGACCUAGUCAUCGGAUGGGUCUUCGGCUUCCCUCAUUAAGCAGAUAGGGAGUGUGUUCCUCCCGAGGGAACGAGUGUGUCACUGGAUUUCAAGAGCACGAGAGUCGGCCACUAGUCAACAUCUUUUUUUGCCACUCGCCGCAUAGGGAGCUCCCGGGCCAGGGAUCAAAUUCAAGUUGCAGUUGAUACCCAAGCCGCAGGGGCGGCUACACCGAUCCUUAACCCACUGUGCCAGGCCAGGGACUGAACCUGCAUCCCAGCGCUUCCAAGAUGCCACCGAUCGGCUGUGCCAAAGCAGGAACACUCGUCAACACCUUGCCCUUUGAAAUGUGUGGAGGCUCCUUUUAUGGACUUGGAAGAAGAGUGCUGUGUGUGGGACUGAUGAGCAGCCUGGCCUCUGAAAUAUCCAGUCAUCCAUGUGCAAUGAGGCUUCCCUAGAAGGAUGCAUUAAAUAGCGUUUGGAGACAGGGAAGCAUAUUCGAAAAUGGUCAGAACAAUCCUGGCAAGACACAGCCCAGGCCUGAACCAAGAGUGUUCCCCCGGGAGAACAGAAGACAGAGAGGACCGAAUGCGACAGGUGGGUGCCAGAUUGUGUCGAGUGACUGCACGUGGGCCUCAGUGAGACAGCACAGACAGUGGUGCUCAGGCUUCUGAUUAGGCAGGUCAAGGAAGUUCACAGAGGCUAAGGUGGGAAAGAGUGUUGGAUAACAGAAUACUCAGCCAGCAAUCAUAAAUGUAACACGGUCCCAGCAGAUUAUUUAUACAUAUGCAAGUUACUCAGUGAAUAGAGCCUUGCUCAGAUUAACCCGAUAAUGUUUUUAUGAAAUAUAGUUAAAUUACAAUGUUAUGCUAUUUUCAAAUGUACAGCAUAUUGAUUCAUAUAUAUAUUCCUUUUCAGAUUCUCUUCCAUUAGGGGCUAUGAAAUAUUGACUAUACCUCCCUGUGCUAUACAAAGGUCCUUGCUGUUUAUCUAUUUUAUACAUAGCAGUGUGUGUCUGUUGGUUCCCAUUCUCCUAACUCAUCCCUCUGCCCCUCCUUCCCCUUUGGUUACCAUACGUUUGUUCUCUAUG